GAUGAACGCUGGCGGCGUGCCUAAUACAUGCAAGUCGAGCGAACAGAUGAGGAGCUUGCUCCUCUGACGUUAGCGGCGGACGGGUGAGUAACACGUGGAUAACCUACCUAUAAGACUGGGAUAACUUCGGGAAACCGGAGCUAAUACCGGAUAAUAUAUUGAACCGCAUGGUUCAAUAGUGAAAGACGGUUUUGCUGUCACUUAUAGAUGGAUCCGCGCCGCAUUAGCUAGUUGGUAAGGUAACGGCUUACCAAGGCGACGAUGCGUAGCCGACCUGAGAGGGUGAUCGGCCACACUGGAACGGAGACACGGUCCAGACUCCUACGGGAGGCAGCAGUAGGGAAUCUUACGCAAUGGGCGAAAGCCUGACGGAGCAACGCCGCGUGAGUGAUGAAGGUCUUCGGAUCGUAAAACUCUGUUAUUAGGGAAGAACAAAUGUGUAAGUAACUAUGCACGUCUUGACGGUACCUAAUCAGAAAGCCACGGCUAACUACGUG
rnacentral:rRNA from 1 species